UACGUAGGGUGCAAGCGUUGUCCGGAAUUAUUGGGCGUAAAGAGCUCGUAGGCGGUCUGUCGCGUCUGCUGUGAAAACUCAGGGCUUAACCCUGAGCUUGCAGUGGGUACGGGCAGACUAGAGUGCGGUAGGGGAGACUGGAAUUCCUGGUGUAGCGGUGAAAUGCGCAGAUAUCAGGAGGAACACCGGUGGCGAAGGCGGGUCUCUGGGCCGUAACUGACGCUGAGAAGCGAAAGCAUGGGGAGCGAACAGG
rnacentral:rRNA from 1 species